rnacentral:rRNA from 1 species
GUUAAAAAGCUCGUAGUUGGAUUUCGGUUAAGAGCGACCGGUCCGCCGUUUGGUGUGCACUGGUUGGUUUUAACUUCCUGUAGAGGACGUGCUCUGGGCUUAACGGUCUGGACUCGGAGUCUACGUGGUUACUUUGAAAAAAUUAGAGUGUUCAAAGCGGGCUUACGCUUGAAUAUUUCAGCAUGGAAUAACACUAUAGGACUCCUGUCCUAUUUCGUUGGUCUCGGGACGGGAGUAAUGAUUAAGAGGAACAGUUGGGGGCAUUCGUAUUUCAUUGUCAGAGGUGAAAUUCUUGGAUUUAUGAAAGACGAACUUCUGCGAAAGCAUUUGCCAAGGAUGUUUUCAUUAAUCAAGAACGAAAGUUGGGGGCUCGAAGAUGAUUAGAUACCAUCCUAGUCUCAACCACAAACGAUGCCGACUAGGGAUUGGCGGAUGUUAAUUGAUGACUCCGCCAGCACCUUAUGAGAAAUCAAAGUUUUUGGGUUCCGGGGGGAAUAUGGUUGCAAGGCUGAAACUUAAAGGAAUUGACGGAAGGGCACCACCAGGCGUGGAGCCUGCGGCUUAAUU